rnacentral:rRNA from 1 species
UACGUAUGGUGCAAGCGUUGUCCGGAAUUACUGGGCGUAAAGAGUUCGUAGGCGGGAAUGUCAGUCAGAAGUGAAAGGCAAUGGCUCAACCAUUGUAAGCUUUUGAAACUGCAUUUCUUGAGUAUCGGAGAGGAAAGUGGAAUUCCUAGUGUAGCGGUGAAAUGCGUAGAUAUUAGGAGGAACACCAGUGGCGAAGGCGACUUUCUGGACGAAAACUGACGCUGAGGAACGAAAGCGUGGGGAGCAAACAGG